AGCCAACAAAGAGAAGUUUUGCAGAUCUAAUUUCACCUUGUUGACAGCUCAUCAACUGAGGUGGUUAUUAAUUCCAUUCUAAAAUUGUUGAACCUGCACAAAUGAAGUGUGCAACUGAAAAUCCGACUAUAGUUUAAGGAGGUACUUAUGUCUUUCCCCCAUCUCCAUCCAUAUAGCUGAAUUUUAGGCUUUGAAGCACUUAAACAACAACUUGAUUUUUCCUGUAAGUUUGUGCUCAUCUUCUCUUUUUUCUAUUGGUUCUCUGAGAGAGAUAACUAUAGAUUUCUGUGUCUUCAUUCACCAGCUGCCGCAAUAAUUUGAAUGUAUACUCACCUUUCUUUUACUUUUUU
rnacentral:misc_RNA from 1 species